rnacentral:rRNA from 1 species
CAACCCCUAGGGAGGCAGCAGUGAGGAAUAUUGGUCAAUGGGCGGGAGCCUGAACCAGCCAAGUCGCGUGAGGGAAGACGGUCCUAUGGAUUGUAAACCUCUUUUGUCGGGGAGCAAAGAGAUCACGUGUGGUCAAAAGCGAGAGUACCCGAAGAAAAAGCAUCGGCUAAUUCCGUGCCAGCAGCCGCGGUAAUACGGAGGAUGCGAGCGUUAUCCGGAUUUAUUGGGUUUAAAGGGUGCGUAGGCGGGACGUUAAGUCAGCGGUAAAAAUGCGGAGCUCAACUCCGUCGAGCCGUUGAAACUGC